GCCGUAGCAUGCUAAAAACCUCGGCCCUCGUCCGAUCAUUAAAGUUAAGCAUCAAUGGGCACAAUUAGUACUUGGGUGGGUGACCACUUGGU